ACCUUAUACAAAUGUAUUAACUGCAAGACAAGUUAGCAUUUCCCUAUAAGGUGGUUUUAGUUAGAAGCCUUAACGAUAAUUAGUAUUGUAUGGCAUGUUGUUGAAAUACUAUGAGUUAAGGUGAAAUAGGUUAACCGUGAGACCUUAAGUUGAAAAACUUUAAAAUUGAACUAAUGUAUUUAGUUACGGUUCG
rnacentral:ncRNA from 1 species